rnacentral:rRNA from 1 species
GGGGAAUAUUGCACAAUGGGGGAAACCCUGAUGCAGCGACGCCGCGUGGAGGAAGAAGGUCUUCGGAUUGUAAACUCCUGUUGUUGGGGAAGAUAAUGACGGUACCCAACAAGGAAGUGACGGCUAACUACGUGCCAGCAGCCGCGGUAAAACGUAGGUCACAAGCGUUGUCCGGAAUUACUGGGUGUAAAGGGAGCGCAGGCGGGAAGACAAGUUGGAAGUGAAAUCUAUGGGCUCAACCCAUAAACUGCUUUCAAAACUGUUUUUCUUGAGUAGUGCAGAGGUAGGCGGAAUUCCCGGUGUAGCGGUGGAAUGCGUAGAUAUCGGGAGGAACACCAGUGGCGAAGGCGGCCUACUGGGCACCAACUGACGCUGAGGCUCGAAAGUGUGGGUAGCAAACAGGAUUAGAUACCCUGGUAGUCCACGCCGUAAACGAUGAUUACUAGGUGUUGGAGGAUUGACCCCUUCAGUGCCGCAGUUAACACAAUAAGUAAUCCACCUGGGGGAGUACGACCGCAAGGUUGAAACUCAAAGGAAUUGACGGGGGCCCGCACAAGCAGUGGAGUAUGUGGUUUAAUUCGACGCAACGCGAAGAACCUUACCAAGUCUUGACAUCCCUUGACAGACAUAGAAAUAUGUUUUCUCUUCGGAGCAAGGAGACAGGUGGUGCAUGGUUGUCGUCAGCUCGUGUCGUGAGAUGUUGGGUUAAGUCCCGCAACGAGCGCAACCCUUAUGGUCAGUUACUACGCAAGAGGACUCUGGCCAGACUGCCGUUGACAAAACGGAGGAAGGUGGGGAUGACGUCAAAUCAUCAUGCCCUUUAUGACUUGGGCUACACACGUACUACAAGGGCGUUAAACAAAGAGAAGCGAGACCGCGAGGGGGAGCAAAACUCAGAAACAACGUCCCAGUUCGGACUGCAGGCUGCAACUCGCCUGCACGAAGUCGGAAUUGCUAGUAAUCGUGGAUCAGCAUGCCACGGGGAAUACGUUCCCG